rnacentral:rRNA from 1 species
UACAGAGGGUGCGAGCGUUUAAUCGGAAUUACUGGGCGUAAAGCGUGCGUAGACGGUAGCGUAAGUCAGAUGUGAAAGCCCCGGGCUCAACCUGGGAAUUGCAUUUGAGACUGCUCUGCUCGGGUGCGGAAGAGGGAAGCGGAAUUUCCGGUGUAGCGGUGAAAUACGUAGAUAUCGGAAGGAACACCAGUGGCGAAAGCGGCUUCCUGGUCCGAUACUGACGCUGAGGCGCGAAAGCGUGGGGAGCAAACAGGG